UUGUGGAGGAGGACGCCGAAGGUGGGGCUAAUGACUGGGGUGAAGUCGUAACAAGGUAGCCGUACCGGAAGGUGCGGCUGGAUCACCUCCUAACAGGGAGACAACAAAAUGUUUAAUAUUAUUAUUUUGUCACCUUAGGUCGAUCGGUAUCUCACGUUUUUAAUUUAUUAAAAAUUUCAUUUCCUAAGUUUUUCUAGGUCACACCCAUUAUUUUUCCUGGGCCAUUAGCUCAGGUGGUUAGAGCGCACCCCUGAUAAGGGUGAGGUCCCUGGUUCAAGUCCAGGAUGGCCCAUAUCUCUAUGUUGGGGGUAUAGCUCAGUUGGUAGAGCGCCUGCUUUGCAAGCAGGAUGUCAGCGGUUCGAGUCCGCUUACCUCCACUGAUUACCACCUCUUCCAUAAUCGGUAGAAAGGAAAUGUUUUGAGUUGUGAUCAAAUUCUGAACGAAUCUAGCUUCCUAAUGAAAUCAUUAAGACGCUGGACUCAUUGAAUUAAUUUCAUUGUUUUCAGAGAACCUUGACAACUGCAUAGAUUUUUUUAAAGACAAUAAGCAUUUAAUAAUGCAGAUUUAUUAUUUGUGCGAAUGCAUUAAUAACAAUUCUAUUAAGCUGAUGCUUCAAUUUUGAAGUUAUUGGUCAAGCUACAA
rnacentral:misc_RNA from 1 species